AGGCAGGCAGCCCUUUAACACGCAGUCAUGUUGUGCUUGUGGUCCUAACCGAGCGUUUUGGGAGGAAUUCGCGCUAAAUUCACACCUGAAGAAGGACACUGAAAUGGCGGAGGCGUUUCGGCUGGAUCUUGACGAUGUGCAAAUGGCGGAGGAUUAUUUUAGCGGCAAGUUGAACGACAUUCCCGCUAUUUUUUUCGGUGGUGCUUUGUUUAUAGGGUUCCAGAGCGGAGGGCUGCCAGUGCGCGGAUGAUCGUCCUGCUGAGACGGUACAGUGCCAAUAAUGAAGCAGUCUUUGGCGGCCGCCUGUGAAGCACCACCUCUUUGUCCCAAGGAGGAGGUGCGUGAGGUGUAGGAGCGGCGCCAUUUCAGUGCUUUCCAAGAGAGAUUCACGAGGUAAUCUUCGAACUCAAUGUACAAGACCGAAGAUGCGCCACUCCUCGUCUUGUGUUCCCUGUCUUCUGCACCUCGCUUCCUCGCCGCCAUCCAUGUCCUGCCCUUAAACUCCUCGCUCCUUGGCUUCGUCUUGUAUGAAAUUUUUGGAAAGCUACAACAUCGCGUCAUGUCUGCAUCUUGUUGCUUAGGUCCCAAGAGCCCUACAUAGGACGGUGCGCCGAGCCGUGACUGCACCCCUCAGCCCCUCAGCUCUGCAGCCCCGCAGCCCUGUAGCCCCACCACCAGCCGAACCGACUCUGCGCGGGAGCCUCUCUCAAAGCGACCAUUUUUAUCUUUCCCUGCGAGAGAGCCAGAUCCUGGGAAAUGAAACUCUAAUCAUUGUAUAAUUGAGGCUGUGUAAUUAGGUUUAGGCUGGCCGUGAUAAUGUAUGUCCGAGCCGCUGCCGACCGCCCGCCCGCCCGCCCUCCCCUCCCGUCCACCCUCCUCCUCGCCUUGUGUUUCCUGGAGAGCAACGAUUUAUUUUUUCCUUCUAGUCUGUGUAUGCAUUUUUGUUUCAGAAUUUUUCAGGAAUAUGUAAUGAAGUACAAACUUGUGGAACACCAAUAAAA